rnacentral:rRNA from 1 species
UGGGGAAUUUUGGACAAUGGGGGCAACCCUGAUCCAGCAAUGCCGCGUGUGUGAAGAAGGCCUUCGGGUUGUAAAGCACUUUUGUCCGGAAAGAAAACGCCGUGGUUAAUACCCGUGGCGGAUGACGGUACCGGAAGAAUAAGCACCGGCUAACUACGUGCCAGCAGCCGCGGUAAUACGUAGGGUGCAAGCGUUAAUCGGAAUUACUGGGCGUAAAGCGUGCGCAGGCGGUCCGCUAAGACAGAUGUGAAAUCCCCGGGCCUAACCUGGGAACUGCAUUUGUGACUGGCGGGCUAGAGUAUGGCAGAGGGGGGUAGAAUUCCACGUGUAGCAGUGAAAUGCGUAGAGAUGUGGAGGAAUACCGAUGGCGAAGGCAGCCCCCUGGGCCAAUACUGACGCUCAUGCACGAAAGCGUGGGGAGCAAACAGGAUUAGAUACCCUGGUAGUCCACGCCCUAAACGAUGUCAACUAGUUGUCGGGUCUUCAUUGACUUGGUAACGUAGCUAACGCGUGAAGUUGACCGCCUGGGGAGUACGGUCGCAAGAUUAAAACUCAAAGGAAUUGAC